AGUGAACGCUGGCGGUAGGCCUAACACAUGCAAGUCGAACGGCAGCACAGUAAGAGCUUGCUCUUACGGGUGGCGAGUGGCGGACGGGUGAGGAAUACAUAGGAAUCUACUUUUUCGUGGGGGAGAACGUAGGGAAACUUACGCUAAUACCGCAUACGACCUACGGGUGAAAGCAGGGGAUCUUCGGACCUUGCGCGAUUGAAUGAGCCGAUGUCGGAUUAGCUAGUUGGCGGGGUAAAGGCCCACCAAGGCGACGAUCCGUAGCUGGUGUGAGAGGAUGAUCAGCCACACUGGAACUGAGACACGGUCCAGACUCCUACGGGAGGCAGCAGUGGGGAAUAUUGGACAAUGGGCGCAAGCCUGAUCCAGCCAUACCGCGUGUGUGAAGAAGGCCUUCGGGUUGUAAAGCCCUUUUGUUGGGAAAGAAAAGCAGCAGGUUAAGACCCCGCUGUUCUGACGGUACCCAAAGAAUAAGCACCGGCUAACUUCGUG
rnacentral:rRNA from 1 species